rnacentral:rRNA from 1 species
CGAGGACGACGCUGGCGGCGUGCUUAACACAUGCAAGUCGAACGGUAUGGCCCUUCGGGGUACACGAGUGGCGAACGGGUGAGUAACACGUGGGUGAUCUGCCCUGCACUUCGGGAUAAGCCUGGGAAACUGGGUCUAAUACCGGAUAGGACCAUGGACUUCACGGUUUGUGGUGGAAAGCUUUUGCGGUGUGGGAUGGGCCCGCGGCCUAUCAGCUUGUUGGUGGGGUAAUGGCCUACCAAGGCGACGACGGGUAGCCGGCCUGAGAGGGUGUCCGGCCACACUGGGACUGAGAUACGGCCCAGACUCCUACGGGAGGCAGCAGUGGGGAAUAUUGCACAAUGGGCGCAAGCCUGAUGCAGCGACGCCGCGUGAGGGAUGACGGCCUUCGGGUUGUAAACCUCUUUCAAUUGGGACGAAGCGCAAGUGACGGUACCUAUAGAAGAAGCACCGGCCAACUACGUG